UACGUAGGAGGCAAGCGUUGUCCGGAAUUACUGGGUGUAAAGCGCGUGUAGGUGGGAGGCCAAGUCUGUGGUGAAAGCGCCCGGCUCAACUGGGCAGAGUCCAUGGAAACUGGUCACCUGGAGGACGGUAGAGGCGAGUGGAAUUCCCGGUGUAGUGGUGAAAUGCGUAGAGAUCCGGAAGAACACCGGUGGCGAAGGCGGCCUGCUGGGCAGUUUUGCUGACACUGAGGCGCGACAGCGUGGGGAGCAAACAGG
rnacentral:rRNA from 1 species